UGCAACAGUUAGGCCAUACACAUGGCAGUAAAUUGCAGUAAUUUUUUUGAAAUAUAAACAGCAUAUGCCAUACCUGAUAUGUCCACAGUGAAUUCUGUUUGUUUCACUCCACACUUUGUUUGCACAAAGAAGCUGAAUUUUUCUGUCAUUGCUGUAGUUGUAGUGUAGCGGCAUGUGAAGCUGUUACUCUGUUCACAGGAGUCAUUAAGAAGCUCUUGUUCACAGAUGACUGAGUCAGUAGGGUAUCGAAACUUACACAUUUUAAUGGAACAAUCAGGGCACUGCAGUGAGAUGUUGCAGGUGAGAGUUACUUCUUUCCCCACAGAUCCAGUCACAUCAUCACAGCUUACACUGAUCUUUAUCAGCUUGACAGACAGCAGUAAAGCUCCAAACCAGAAAGAACAGUUGCACAGCAUUUACAGCAUUCAUGGUUGUAAUUCUGC
ensembl:lncRNA